CCGGCCGCUCCGGCGGGGCUGCCCCGCGGCUCCUGCUCGUCCGAGCCGGGCCCGGGCGGAGUCCGCAGGAUCUUCAUGGGCUCUCCGCUGGGGGAAGCUCGUCUGGAGCUCGGGAGCGGGCGGGACGCUCGCCGUCGUUUCAGAGCCUGGGGUUCGAAUCCCAGCUCCUCCAUAGAGACUUGGCGACCUUGGAUGACCGGUCUCGGGGCCUCAGUUUCCCCUCUCGGGUGAGACACCCAGGAGGCGGAGGAAAGGUUGCGGACCCUUCGGGGCGAUCCACCGCUGCCCUGCACGGAGCUGACGCUCAACAAGGGCUGUUGAAUCAAUGUUUUCUUACAGGUGGAACCAUCACGAGGCUGUUACCAGGCAGAUAACUGAGGUGACAGAAAUUCUCUAUUAGUAAAAGCUAAGACCAUGCUAAUAGUGGUCUGAUGUCCUGACCUACUCAGACAGAAACAGAGAACAAACAACCCCAAUGGGUCAGAUGUCCUGGCUGAGGGCCAAAGCACAGAGACCCUAUGGCCAGUAAACUACCCUUCAGCACGGCGGAGCACUUCUCUUUUCACCUUAUGCGCUUAAAAAAUCAACCUCGGCUGUCCACAAGACAGCGCAUCACUAUGGUGACUGCCAUCAUCACUCACAAUUUAACUAAAUGUUACGGGGAAAUCAUAAACUUCAAAAAUAAAAUGAUUAUUUCUUGGAAACCUGAGUUAAAUGCUUUGACAUGACUUGAUAAAAGCAAGUCAUUAAAAAAAAAUCACUCUCACAUUAUCAGGACAACUAACAACUAUAAAAGAUUUGGGGAAAAAUGAUAAAAUUUAAGAUUUUUAAAGUCAGACUGCUUUUCAAGUAUCUUUACAUUUUGAUCCACCAUGAAUGGAAAUUGCAGAUGAUUCCCCAUGUGAAGUUCUUAGUCCUAAG